AGGCCAUCCACUCAGAAGCUGAUCAUUACCCAAGCAUCAGCAAACCUAAGGCAGUAUACCUGGCAUUUCUUCCCUACCUAAUGGAGAGUGCUCUGCUAGUCCAGGUUUCCAAGUCACCCUCUCUUCUCCUCACAGUCUCACAGUCUUCUCCACCCCAGCAUUUGCUACCUUCAAACACCUUGCCAGUUCUCCAGUGUCCUGAAUCUUUACCUCAAAUGAAGGAAAAUGAGAUAACUGGCUAUGGAAUCCAAAAACCUGGAUUUACUUUUCUUGUGAUUUUGGAAAAAUAAAUCUUUUUUGAUCAUGGAUCUCA